AGGUGCGGGGCGGCCAUUGCGCUUGCGCGUAGAUCUUCCCUAAUUGUUUCUUCCGUGCCAGCGUCUCUCCCAUCUGUCCGGCUGGAAUUGGAGGUUUCUGUCCCUUUCUCCUGACCUUUAGGAGUGUGUGACUUCAGCUGCGAGACCUCCUUCGGCCGACUCAGCCAGCGCAAGGGACGUGGGUGUGUAUGAGGAGAGACGGUCAGGCAAUUGUGGUGAUGCUUAAGGCCUUUGGGUCGUGAUGCAUCAAAUCUCAAAGUGGCAAGAGUGGAAGGAGCCCGGAGAUAGCAAAAGCACCCUAAAUGGAGUAGAGGAAAUGCUCUCACUGGCAUUUUAAAAAUCAUCCUCACAAAACUCGGGUCCUAAGAAAAACCUCACUGAUGGAGAAAACCACUGCUGACUCAGAGGCAGGUUUAAUUGUGGUUGUCUUUCACCAUGUUCUGGGCAGCUUGUCAGCAAACCACACACAUCAAACAAGGAAGCAAAACCAACUGAAGAGCUCUCAAUCAGCUUUCCAUUAUGCAAAAACUGAAGGUUAAUGGGGAAAGAAGGCUCACAGGAAGUUCAUUAACAAGGGAUAAACAGACACAAGUGAUCUGGAACCAAACCUGCAAUCUCUCUGAGGUAUUCCUAUGUUUAAGGACUCUGCCCAAUCAUUUGCUGACCACUAAGAUAAUAUAACAGAGACUUCAGGAGCCACAUAAAACAAAGAAUAGACUACAGAAUUCGUCUGUUUAGAAAAGUCAUGAAACAAUAACAACUACAAUAAGCAGCAACAACAACAAAUCCUCGGAAAUGGAGAGUUGAUACAAUUAUUAUCACCCGAAGUCCAUAAUUUAAGAUUCAUUCCUGGUGUUGUACAUUCUAAGCCACCAGAUGCCUUCCAGAGUGGCUGUACUAUUUUGCAUCCCUGCAAGCAAUGUAUGAGAGUUCCUGUUGCUGCAUAUCCUCAACAACAUUUGGUGUAAUCACUGGUUUGAAUUUUAGCCAUUCUAAUAGAUGUAUGGUGAUACCUUGUUUUAAUUUGCAAGUCCCUGAUGAAAUGUGAUGUUGAGCAUCUUUUCAUACGAUUAUUUGAUAACUGUGUAUCUUCUUUAAUAAGUUGUCUAUUCAUAUCUUUAGCCCAUCUUUUAGUCAGGUUGUGUGUUAUUGUUGGGUUGUAAGAGUUCUUUGUAUAUUUUGGAUAACAGACCUUUAUCAGAUCUGUCUUUUACAAAUAUUUUCUCCCACUCUGUGGCUUGUCUUCUCCUUCUCUUGACAGUGUCUUUUUGCAGAGGAGAAGUUUUUAAUUUUAGUGAAGCCCAGGUUAUCAAUUCUUCCAUGGAUUUUGCCUUUGGUGUUACACCUAAACAGUCAUCACCAUGCCCAAGGUCAUAUAGAUUUUUUCCAAUGUUAUCUCCUAGGAGUUUUAUGGUUCUGCAUUUUACUCUUAGGUCUGUGAUAUAUUUUUAGUUAAUUUUUAUAAAAGGUAUAAGGUCUGUGUCUAGAUUCACAUUUUUGCAUAUGAAUGUGCAGUUGUUUCAACACCAUUUGUGGAAAAGUCUACCUUUGCUCCAUUGUGUUGCCUUUGCUUCUUUGUUGGAGAUCAGUUGAUUAUAUUUAUAUGGGUACAGUUCUGGGCUCUCUAGUCUAUUCCAUUGAUCUACAUGUCUGUUCUUUUGCCAGUACCACACUGUCUUGAUUACUGUAGUUUAUAGUAAGUCUUAAGGUCAGCUUGUGUCAGCCUUCUGACUUUGUUCUUUUCCUUCAAUAUUGUGUUGGCUAUUCUGGGUUUUUAUCUCUCCGUAUACAUUCAGAAACAGUUGUUGAUAUCCAAAAAAUAAUUUAUUAAGAUUUUUAGGAUCUGAUUGAAUCUGUAUAUCAAGUUGGGAAGAACUGACAUCUUGACAAUAUUGAGUCUUCUUAUCCAUGAAUAUGGAAUAUCUGUUUAUUUAGGUCUUUGAUUUCUUUCAUCAGAGGUUUGUAGUUUUCUUCAACUAGAUCUUGCACAUAUUUUGUUAGAUUUAUACCUAAGUAUUUCAUUUUGUGGGGAGGGGUGCUAAUGUUUGUGCUAUUUUUUAAAAUCUCAAAUUCUACUUGUUCAUUGUUGGUACAUAGGAAAGCCAUAUACUUUUGUAUAUUAACCUUGUAUACUGCAACUUUGCUAUAAUUGCUUAUUAGUCCCAGAAAGGUGUUUUUGGCAAUUAUUUCACACCUUUUGUAUAAACAACCAUGUCAUCUGUGAACAAAGACAGUUCUAUUUCUUCUUGAAACUCUAUACCCAUUGAACAAUAACACCCAAUUCCACCCUCCCCCCAGCUGCUGGCAACCACCAUUCUACUCUCUGCUUCUCUGAGUUUGACUACUCUAAGUACCUCAUGGAAGUACAAUUAUAUAGAAUUUGUUUUUUUGUGACUGUCAUUUCAUUUAGCAUAAUAUCCUCCAGGUUCAUUCAUAUUGUAGCAUAUGUCAGAAUUUUCUUCCUUUUUAAGGCUGAAUAAUAUUCUGUUGUGUGUAUAUAUUACAUACAAUGUAUGCAUCCAAUACUGGACACUUGAGUUUCUUCCAUGUUUUAGCUACUGUGAAUAAUGCUGCUAUGAACAUGGUUGUACAAAACAUCUCUUUGAGACGCAGCUUGCAAUUCUUUUGGGUACAUACCCAGAAGUGGAAUUGCUAGAUCUUAUGGUAAUUCUAUUUUUAAUUUUUUGAGGAACUACCAUACUGUUUUCCACUGUACCAUUUUACUUUCCCACCAACAGUACACAAGGGUUCCACUUUAUCCAAAUCCUUGCCAACACUUUUUAUUUUCUGGUUUUUUAUAUUAACUAUUCUACUGGAUGGGAGGUGGCAUCUCAUUUUACUUUUAAUUUGCAUUUCCCUAAUGAUUAAUGUUGUUGAUCAUUUUUUUCAUGUGCUUUUUGGCCAUUUAUAUAUCUUCUUUGGAGAAAUGUCUAUUCAAGUCCUUUGCUGAUUUUUGAAUUGAGCUGUUUGGUGUUUUUGUUGAUGAGUUUUAGGAGCUCUCUAUACAUUCUGGAUAUUAAUCACUUAUCUGAUAAAUGAUUUACAAAUAUUUCUUCCAUUGUGUGGGUUGCCUUUUUUACUCUGUUGAUAUUGUGAUUAUUAUUAUUACUUGCAGUAACAUAA